UACAGAGGUCUCAAGCGUUGUUCGGAUUCAUUGGGCGUAAAGCGCGCGCAGGCGGCUAUCCAAGUCAGUGGUGAAAGCCCGGAGCUCAACUCCGGAACUGCCAUUGAAACUGUUUAGCUUGAGGACGAGAGAGGUGAGUGGAAUUCCCAGUGUAGAGGUGAAAUUCGUAGAUAUUGGGAAGAACACCGGUGGCGAAGGCGGCUCACUGGCUCGUAUCUGACGCUCAGGCGCGACAGCGUGGGGAUCAAACAGG
rnacentral:rRNA from 1 species